GUGCUAAGGUAGCAUAAUCAUUUGUUAUUUAAUUGAUAGCUGGCAUGAAUGGUUUAACUAAAUUAGGGGGUUUGUAGCGCUGUAAAUAAACUUAAAGUUAAGGUGAUAAUUCUUUGAUGGUCUGGGGGACGAAAAGACCCUGUAAGCUUUAUAAAUAGUGUAGUUAUUAGUGGUGUAGGGUUUAUUUAUUUUAUUGGGGGGGUAGUUUUAUUUAAACUAAGACAUAUUUGGUAGAUCCUUUAAAUAAAGAUAAAACGGGUAAGUUACUUCAGGGAUAACAGCGUAAUAGACUUGAAUAGCUCGUAUUGAUAAGUCUGAUUGCGACCUCGAUGUUGAAUUA
rnacentral:rRNA from 1 species